rnacentral:lncRNA from 1 species
AAGUCCUCGGGGAUCUCGGGACCCAAACCUACACAUGGGCGCAAUCUCGUCAGCCCUCAAGCAAUGCGGUGUCAGUAUCGUCAAGCUGGUCGGAGACCGUCAUUCUGAGGUGAUAUCGUUAGCUUCCGGAAUUAAACGACAUGAAAAUAGGACGCAUAGUUUUUCGUGUGAGUAUCCAUUAACUGUCUGAUUGCCCAGUGCGGCGUGUAGGUCAAAAAGCCAAAUUCUUACCAUGUCCCUUCAGAAUACGGAGAACCUUGCUUCCAGUCACGCUGUUAACCUGGGCAAUACCGUGUGAAUCCCUCAGGAUCACACCAAUCUGAGAAGGGGUCAGACCCUUCUUGGCGAGCUUGCAGAUAUGCUCUUCAACCUCGGCGGUGGUGAUCUUCAACCACGAUGGCGGGCUCCUCUUGUACGGCAAAGCCGAUGAGG